rnacentral:rRNA from 1 species
UACGUAGGUGACCAGCGUUGUCCGGAUUUACUGGGCGUAAAGAGCGCGCAGGCGGUCGUUCAAGUCGAGUGUGAAAGCCCCCGGCUCAACUGGGGAGGGUCACGCGAUACUGAUCGACUCGAAGGCAGGAGAGGGUAGUGGAAUUCCCGGUGUAGUGGUGAAAUGCGUAGAUAUCGGGAGGAACACCAGUGGCGAAGGCGACUACCUGGCCUGUUCUUGACGCCUGAGGCGCGAAAGCUAGGGGAGCAAACGGGG